rnacentral:rRNA from 1 species
UACGUAGGUGGCGAGCGUUAUCCGGAUUUAUUGGGCGUAAAGGGUGCGCAGGCGGUUUAUUAAGUCUAAGAUAAAAGCCCGAAGCUUAACUUCGGUUUGUUUUAGAAACUGGUAGACUUGAGUAUGGUAGAGGCAAAUGGAAUUCCUAGUGUAGCGGUGGAAUGCGUAGAUAUUAGGAGGAACACCAGUGGCGAAGGCGGUUUGCUGGGCCAUUACUGACGCUCAUGCACGAAAGCGUGGGGAGC